UACGUAGGGUGCGAGCGUUAAUCGGAAUUACUGGGCGUAAAGCGUGCGCAGGCGGUUAUUUAAGUCAGGUGUGAAAGCCCUGGGCUUAACCUAGGAAUUGCACUUGAGACUGGAUAGCUUGGAGUGCGGCAGAGGGAGGUGGAAUUCCACGUGUAGCAGUGAAAUGCGUAGAGAUGUGGAGGAACACCGAUGGCGAAGGCAGCCUCCUGGGCCAGCACUGACGCUCAUGCACGAAAGCGUGGGGAGCAAACAGG
rnacentral:rRNA from 1 species